AAAUAUAUAUAAAUACAAAAUAAAUCACCUUUGUAAUAUUAUAUUAAUAUGCCUAUUUAAAUAGUUAGAUACACAGUUAGAUAUAGUUCAAUAAACAAUUUGAGAAUAUUUUAUGACAUUCUUAUAAAUAUAUAUAUCAAUUUUAUCACUACCAAAUCAAAGAGCAAAACACAUAGAGAAAAAUUCAAAUAAGAACAAACGUAUUGUUUCAUUUAAUUCAUUACACCAUAAUAAAACCUAGGACCUCACAACAAAAAUAUACGGCACCAUUUGUAAGAGUUAAAUAGUAUUAAUAUUUUGGUGCGUAUAAAGUAAAGUAACGUUGUUUAUGUAUGUUUAUUAAUAGAUUGCAAUAUUUGGUAUAUGUACUAAUAAUUGGACAUAGUCAUGAUUAAAAAUAGUUAGAUGAUUGAUAUAAUAAUUAAAUUAAGGCCGAAAUAUAUGAAAGGUAAUUAAAAUAAAUUAAGGGGGAAUGUGAUCGUUAAGGAAAGUGGUAGUACAAUGCUAAUGUGGGAUAACAAUAACCCAAUAGGUUCAAAGGGUCACAAAGUGUGAGGUUUGAACAAAUUGGAUAAAUUGGUAUCACCGAAUUUAGAAUAAGGGUGAAAC